ensembl:rRNA 5S_rRNA 5S ribosomal RNA
GUCUAUGGCCAUAUGAACAUGCCUAACCUUGUCUGAUCUUGGAAGCUAAGCAGGGUCCAGCCUGCUUAGUACUUGGAUGGGAGACCAACUAUUAGGUGCUGUCGUCUUUAAAAGAGAACAAGGUGCUGUCGUCU